GACGGAGAGUUUGAUCCUGGCUCAGGACGAACGCUGGCGGCGUGCCUCAAACAUGCAAGUCGAGGGAGGGUUGCUCGGGGGCUUGCCCCCGGGUUCAACUCUACCGGCGAACGGGUGAGUAACACGUGGGUAACCUGCCCUGAAGACGGGGAUAACCUCGGGAAACCGGGGCUAAUACCCGAUACCCUCACCGGAGGGCAUCCUCUGGUGAGGAAAGGUCCGCAAGGUCCGCUUCAGGAUGGGCCCGCGGCGUAUCAGCUCGUUGGUGAGGUAACGGCUCACCAAGGCGAUGACGCGUAGCUGGCCUGAGAGGGUGGUCAGCCACACUGGGACUGAGACACGGCCCAGACUCCUACGGGAGGCAGCAGUUGGGAAUCUUGGGCAAUGGGCGCAAGCCUGACCCAGCGACGCCGCGUG
rnacentral:rRNA from 1 species